AGUGAACGCUGGCGGUAGGCCUAACACAUGCAAGUCGAACGGCAGCACAGUAAGAGCUUGCUCUUACGGGUGGCGAGUGGCGGACGGGUGAGGAAUACAUCGGAAUCUACUUUUUCGUGGGGGAUAACGUAGGGAAACUUACGCUAAUACCGCAUACGACCUACGGGUGAAAGCAGGGGAUCUUCGGACCUUGCGCGAUUGAAUGAGCCGAUGUCGGAUUAGCUAGUUGGCGGGGUAAAGGCCCACCAAGGCGACGAUCCGUAGCUGGUCUGAGAGGAUGAUCAGCCACACUGGAACUGAGACACGGUCCAGACUCCUACGGGAGGCAGCAGUGGGGAAAUUUGGACAAUGGGCGCAAGCCUGAUCCAGCCAUACCGCGUGGGUGAAGAAGGCCUUCGGGUUGUAAAGCCCUUUUGUUGGGAAAGAAAAGCAGCAGGUUAAUACCCCGCUGUUCUGACGGUACCCAAAGAAUAAGCACCGGCUAACUUCGUG
rnacentral:rRNA from 1 species